rnacentral:tRNA from 1 species
AUUGCUUUGGCAGAAAAGUGCGAUAGAUUUAGGAUUUAUUUAUAUAGAAUAUUAGCCUAUAGGUAAUA